UACAGAGGGGGCAAGCGUUGUUCGGAAUUACUGGGCGUAAAGGGCGCGUAGGCGGCCUGUUAAGUCGAACGUGAAAUCCCCGGGCUCAACCCGGGAACUGCGUCCGAUACUGGCAGGCUUCAAUCCGGGAGAGGGAUGCGGAAUUCCAGGUGUAGCGGUGAAAUGCGUAGAUAUCUGGAGGAUCACCGGUGGCGAAGGCGGCAUCCUGGACCGGCAUUGACGCUGAGGCGCGAAAGCCAGGGGAGCAAACGGG
rnacentral:rRNA from 1 species